rnacentral:rRNA from 1 species
UGGGGAAUCUUAGACAAUGGGGGAAACCCUGAUCUAGCCAUGCCGCGUGAGUGAUGAAGGCCUUAGGGUUGUAAAGCUCUUUCAGCUGGGAAGAUAAUGACGGUACCAGCAGAAGAAGCCCCGGCUAACUCCGUGCCAGCAGCCGCGGUAAUACGGAGGGGGCUAGCGUUGUUCGGAAUUACUGGGCGUAAAGCGCACGUAGGCGGACUGGAAAGUUGGAGGUGAAAUCCUGGGGCUCAACCCCAGAACUGCCUUCAAAACUAUCAGUCUGGAGUUCGAGAGAGGUGAGUGGAAUUCCGAGUGUAAAGGUGAAAUUCGUAGAUAUUCGGAGGAACACCAGUGGCGAAGGCGGCUCACUGGCUCGAUACUGACGCUGAGGUGCGAAAGCGUGGGGAGCAAACAGG